rnacentral:rRNA from 1 species
UACGGGAGGCAGCAGUGGGGAAUAUUGCACAAUGGGCGCAAGCCUGAUGCAGCCAUGCCGCGUGUAUGAAGAAGGCCUUCGGGUUGUAAAGUACUUUCAGUCGUGAGGAAGGUGUUAAGGUUAAUAACCUUAGCAAUUGACGUUAGCGACAGAAGAAGCACCGGCUAACUCCGUGCCAGCAGCCGCGGUAAUACGGAGGGUGCGAGCGUUAAUCGGAAUUACUGGGCGUAAAGGGCACGCAGGCGGUUAAUUAAGUUGGAUGUGAAAUCCCCGGGCUUAACCUGGGAACGGCAUUCAAGACUGGUUAGCUAGAGUCUUGUAGAGGGGGUAGAAUUCCAUGUGUAGCGGUGAAAUGCGUAGAGAUGUGGAGGAAUACCGGUGGCGAAGGCGGCCCCGUGGACAAAGACUGACGCUCAUGUGCGAAAGCGUGGGGAGCAAACAGGGAUUAGAUACC